GCCUGCAGAAGCCACCAGUCAAACACUCAUCUUUACUAAGGUCAGCGCACAGGCCCGCAGAAGCCACCAGUCAAACACCCAGUUGUACUGAGCAUGGCUCUCCAGCUGGAGGAGACUGGUACGCUAGAAAGGAGCCUUGUCCAUCCUUGACCUUGGUGAAGGUCAGUAGGUCACAGAGCUUAAUAAAGCUAUGAGCAUGAACUGAUACUCACUUCCGGGGUCUUCUGAGAGAAACACCCGCCAGCUCAAUCUCUUCCUGACGAUGAGACCCUGGAGCCUUCAGAUGCAGCAGGAGGAGAAGCUGAAUUGAGCACAGUUUCAGAAAUACCUGUGACUAGGGGAUUCCACGCUGCAGAAAAUGGUCUCCAGAAACAGGAGUCUGACUUCCCUCUCCAGAACAAAGAUGUCUGCAGGAGUUCCAAGAGGAGCCACAUGGAGUUGGUAGGUGGUAUGGUCAGAGGUGGAAGCCUGGAAGGCAAGGAAGCAUCAUCUCUGUUGAUGGGCAUCACCCCAAAUGAAGACCCUGUAAGAGGGGACAGGGUACAUUGGACACAACCCUGAAAACAGUCUCUGAAAAGAUUCACUCUUCUAUCAUGAGUGAAUGAAUGAGGCAAUUUGCAGAAGAGGAGCGGGAACAAAAACAAAGGAAGUGGUUUUGUGGCAGAAGGCACAAGAGGAGAGGAGAAUGGACCUAAGACCACGAAGAGUUCCGCCGACAUAGCGGACUUGGGAAAGCUGAGCGCAAGAUUUCUGAUGGCUACGCAGCUGCAGACGGAGCACAGUGCCUGGUUGUCAGAGCCUCGUUAGCGUUUGAUGAGAAAAGAUAGGCAUAGCCUCUCCCCUCCCUUGUGUGGGGCUGGACCUGAAGCCUGCCUGGUGCUCCCACACACAUGCUCUACUGGAAUCACUCGUGUUUCCGUUUUGCUUAUUUGUUUGAGAUAGUGUUUUGUUUACAUAGCUUUGGCCUCGUUUUAGACUCCAUUUUAUAGCCCAGGCUGGUCGUAAAGCCAUGAUUUUCUUGUCUCUGCCUCCUCAGUACUAGGAUAUAGGUUGUCGACAACUAUAUCCAACUCCUAGGGACGUUCUUAAUGGUUUUGUCAUCCCUCCCCCCCCCCAUGCUGGGGAGCUCCUUCCUCUCCUUCAGCCAAUAGACUAUAAGAUACCAGCCCACUUGGGCGUGGUUUCUUUUGCUUUAAAAAACAGCAGUAGCCCUGUGCUCU